UCUGCUACUUCCUAUCUUACUCAAAUUUAACUGACUGGGCUUCUCAAAUCAUUCUAAUGUGUGGCAAGGGUUGGGACUGAGAAUACAGAAUUUGAGGAGACAGAGAAUCCAAUGGACUUUUGUGGGUAAUGUAUCAUGACUUUAAAAUGUCUUAUGGUACCAUUCUUAUCUUUUGUUUUGUUCUGUUUGCUUGGGGCAGCAUCUGACAGGGUCACCUAGGCUGUCUGCAGCUCCUUGCAGUUCUUAUGCCUCUACCCAAGUACUGGAAUUACAGACAGGGUUUCUCUGUGUACCCUGGAACACACACUGUAUAGCAGGCUGGCCUCCAGCUCACUGAGAUCUGCCUGAAUCUACCUCCAUCAGGUUGGGAUUAAAGCUCCUGACAUCUAUCAGUAUCUGACACAUUUUGAAGUGAAGUUUGUCCUUUGUGUGUACCUUGGAGUAUGGGAGUGUUGGGAUGAAUUAAACUGGAGAAGCAAAUGUCUUUAUAGGUAUAACACAUCAUAGCCAUUAGAGAUGAAGAUGGAAGCUUAAUAAUAUGCUGGUUUAUCUACAUAUGUAAAUGAGUUUAAUUCUCAAUGGUUCCUUCACAGAGUUGAAGAAAUGCUGCUUUAACUGUAGCAUUAGAGAUUAAACCGUCUGUUGAGUCCCUUGGGUUUGCACUUGGUGUGUUAGGCUUUCCCAUCAUGCUAUGGUUAAUAUUUUAAUUAGCUCCCUCUGUUUUCAUGGAGCAUAGUGUCAUGAUGACCCCUAACCAAUCUUCUCCUUCUAGGACAGGACCCCUAUGGGAAGGCAACAAACUGACUUCAAUCUCUAGUUCUGAGUUUCCACCCUGAAGAAAACCUUACAGUUUUCUACUAGUAAGGGG
rnacentral:lncRNA from 1 species